CCGCCACGCCUUCCUUAAUCUCAGACCAGGCCGAUGAUUCGACUUUCGGAUCCCAGUUCCUUCAAAUGCUUCGCAUAAUUGCGCAGGCGGCGCGUGAUGAGGACGCGCCUCCUCCUCUCCCGCAGGACCACCAAUCCGAGGACGAUUUUCUCAGGAUCGAGCUUAAUGAAUGGGACAAUGACGAAGAUGAAGACGAGGAUGACGAUGAUGCGAACGAGAACGAGAACGAGAACGA
rnacentral:misc_RNA from 1 species